UGGCGGCAUGCCUAACACAUGCAAGUCGCGCGGUCAGCAAUGGCAGCGGCGGACGGGUGCGUAACGCGUAGGAACGUGUCUAGAGGUGGGGGACAACCCUGGGAAACUGGGGCUAAUACCGCAUAUGGGCUGAGGCCCAAAGCCGUGAGGCGCCUUUGGAGCGGCCUGCGUCCGAUUAGCUAGUUGGUGGGGUAAAGGCCUACCAAGGCUCCGAUCGGUAGCUGGUCUGAGAGGACGAUCAGCCACACUGGGACUGAGACACGGCCCAGACUCCUACGGGAGGCAGCAGUGGGGAAUAUUGGACAAUGGGCGCAAGCCUGAUCCAGCAAUGCCGCGUGGGUGAAGAAGGUCUUCGGAUCGUAAAGCCCUUUCGACAGGGACGAUGAUGACGGUACCUGUAGAAGAAGCCCCGGCUAACUUCGUGCCAGCAGCCGCGGUAAUACGAAGGGGGCUAGCGUUGCUCGGAAUUACUGGGCGUAAAGGGCGCGUAGGCGGCUUAGUCAGUCAGGCGUGAAAUUCCUGGGCUUAACCUGGGGUCUGCGUUUGAGACGGCUAGGCUAGAGGGUAGGAGAGGGUCGUGGAAUUCCCAGUGUAGAGGUGAAAUUCGUAGAUAUUGGGAAGAACACCGGUGGCGAAGGCGGCGACCUGGCCUAUUACUGACGCUGAGGCGCGACAGCGUGGGGAGCAAACAGGAUUAGAUACCUGGUAGUCCACGCCGUAACGAUGUGCGCUGGAUGUUGGGGCCCAUAGGGUCUCAGUGUCGUAGCUAACGCGGUAAGCGCACCGCCUGGGGAGUACGG
rnacentral:rRNA from 1 species